UUGCACGCUGGCGGCAUGCUUUACCCAUGCAAGUCGAACGGCAGUGCGGGCUUCGGCCUGGCGGCGAGUGGCGAACGGGUGAGUAAUACAUCGGAACGUGCCCAGUAGUGGGGGAUAGCUCGGCGAAAGCCGGAUUAAUACCGCAUACGACCUGAGGGUGAAAGCGGGGGAUCUUCGGACCUCGCGCUAUUGGAGCGGCCGAUGGCAGAUUAGCUAGUUGGUGGGGUAAAGGCCUACCAAGGCGACGAUCUGUAGCUGGUCUGAGAGGACGACCAGCCACACUGGGACUGAGACACGGCCCAGACUCCUACGGGAGGCAGCAGUGGGGAAUUUUGGACAAUGGGCGAAAGCCUGAUCCAGCAAUGCCGCGUGUGUGAUGAAGGCCUUCGGGUUGUAAAGCACUUUUGGCGGGAACGAAAAGGACUGUGCCAAUACCACGGUUCGAUGACGGUACCCGCAGAAUAAGCACCGGCUAACUACGUG
rnacentral:rRNA from 1 species